AUGCGUCUUAGGUUAGAGAAGAAUCAAACAAUUGACAAAAUUGCUCAGCAAGAACUUGAGACGGAAAAGGAACAUUGGAGAAAACUUUUGCUCAGAAUCCUCUUGAUUGUAAAAUUUCUUGCAUAACACAAUAUAGCAUUCUAUGGUAGUAAUAGCAAGUUGUACCAAGAUAGCAAUGGCAAUUUCUUAGGACUCGUUCAAAUGUUGGCUGAAUUUGACCCAGUUAUCAAAGAGCAUGUUGAUCGCAUCACCAAUGAUAAAAUUCGUGAUCAUUAUCUUGGUCCUUCCAUAAAUGAGUUAAUCAAUUUGCUUGUUGCUGCAAUCAAGUCAAAAUCAUUGAGAAGGAGAUGGCAAAUUCUCAAAGAUAACAUACCAGGAUUGACUCUCAAGGCAUUGUCAUCUACUCGCUGGGAGAGUCGUGUUGAUAGUGUUCAGGCUAUAAGGUUUCAGCUACCGGAAAUAAGGGAGGCCUUACUGCAAGUGGCUGAAAGUGAUAAAGAUUCAUCGACACAAAGUGAAGCUCAAUCAUUGGCAGAAAAUGAACUUGGUGGCUUUGACUUUUUAGUAUCAAUAAUCAUCUGGUAUGAAAUAUUAUCUGCUGUUAAUUUGAAAAGCAAAGAGUUACAGUCAAAGGAUAUGAUUAUUGAUAUUGUAAUUGAAUCCAUAAAAAGCUUGCUUUCCUUUUUCAAGAAGCAUAGAGUAACUGGCUUUUCAAAAGCAUUGGAAGUUGCAAAAAAAUUUGCAAUGAAGAUGGAUAUUCAUCCAGAGUUCCGCACCAAGCGUAAAAUCAAAAGGAAAAAACAAUUUGAUGAGGACGAAGAUGAUGCAUCUAUUGAUUCACAAUCUGCAGAGGAGUCAUUCAGGGUCAAUUAUUUUAUACGUGUUGUUGAUCAAGCUAUAACUUAACUUACCAUGAGAUUUGAACAAUACGAGGGGUAUGAAAAGAUAUUUGGUUUCUUGUUUACUUUAGAUAGGCUGUGAGAUUCACUUCAGAAAUCUACGGGUCCUCUUGAGAUUCUAAAUUAUUUGAAGAAGCACUCCACAAUCUAUCCUAAUGCUAUUAUUGCAUACAUAAUUUUAACCAUUCCUGUAACUGUUGCAUCUGCGGAAAGGAGUUUUUCUGAACUCAAAUUGUUGAAGUCGUACUUGUGUUCUACUAUGACACAAAGACUGAAUGGAUUGGCGACAAUAGCACUUGAAAACGAUGUCUUGGAGAAGAUAUAGUACGAAGAUAUGAUCGAAGAUUUUAUUUCAAGAAAUACUAGACGGAUGCUCCUUUUUGGUAGGACAUGA
rnacentral:rRNA from 1 species